rnacentral:rRNA from 1 species
GACGAACGCUGGCGGCGUGCUUAACACAUGCAAGUCGAACGGAAAGGCCCUGCUUUUGUGGGGUGCUCGAGUGGCGAACGGGUGAGUAACACGUGAGUAACCUGCCCUUGACUUUGGGAUAACUUCAGGAAACUGGGGCUAAUACCGGAUAGGAGCUCCUGCUGCAUGGUGGGGGUUGGAAAGUUUCGGCGGUUGGGGAUGGACUCGCGGCUUAUCAGCUUGUUGGUGGGGUAGUGGCUUACCAAGGCUUUGACGGGUAGCCGGCCUGAGAGGGUGACCGGCCACAUUGGGACUGAGAUACGGCCCAGACUCCUACGGGAGGCAGCAGUGGGGAAUAUUGCACAAUGGGCGGAAGCCGGAUGCAGCAACGCCGCGGGCGGGAUGACGGCCUUCGGGUUGUAAACCGCUUUCGCCUGUGACGAAGCGUGAGUGACGGUAAUGGGUAAAGAAGCACCGGCUAACUACGUG